rnacentral:rRNA from 1 species
CUACGGGUGGCUGCCGUGGGGAAUAUUGCACAAUGGGCGCAAGCCUGCUGCCGCCAUGCCGCGUGGGUGAAGAAGGCCUUCGGGUUGUAAAGCACUUUCAGCGGGGAGGAAGGCGGUGAGGUUAAUAACCUCAUCGAUUGACGUUACCCGCAGAAGAAGCACCGGCUAACUCCGUGCCAGCAGCCGCGGUAAUACGGAGGGUGCAAGCGUUAAUCGGAAUUACUGGGCGUAAAGCGCACGCAGGCGGUCUGUCAAGUCGGAUGUGAAAUCCCCGGGCUCAACCUGGGAACUGCAUUCGAAACUGGCAGGCUAGAGUCUUGUAGAGGGGGGUAGAAUUCCAGGUGUAGCGGUGAAAUGCGUAGAGAUCUGGAGGAAUACCGGUGGCGAAGGCGGCCCCCUGGACAAAGACUGACGCUCAGGUGCGAAAGCGUGGGGAGCAAACAGGAUUAGAUACCCGAGUAGUC